CCUACGGGAGGCAGCAGUAGGGAAUUUUCGUCAAUGGGCGCAAGCCUGAACGAGCAAUGCCGCGUGAACGAGGAAGGUCUUCGGAUCGUAAAGUUCUGUUGAAGGGGAAAAAGAGCGGAGAGAGGAAAUGGUCUCCGAUUGAUAUUACCCUUCGAGGAAGUCACGGCUAACUACGUGCCAGCAGCCGCGGUAAUACGUAGGUGGCGAGCGUUAUCCGGAAUGAUUGGGCGUAAAGGGUGCGUAGGCGGCCUGCUAAGUCUGGAGUGAAAGGUACCGGCUCAACCGGUACAGGCUCUGGAAACUGGCGGGCUAGAGAGCAGGAGAGGGCGGUGGAACUCCAUGUGUAGCGGUGAAAUGCUUAGAUAUUGCGCAGAACUCCGAUUGCGAAGGCAGCAUACCGGCGGCGAUCUGACGCUGAGGCACGAAAGCGUGGGUAUCGAACAGGAUUAGAUACCCGAGUAGUC
rnacentral:rRNA from 1 species